CCGGAUUGUUUCGGAUCAAAUUCAGGAAUGGUUCCAGGGCCAGCACAAAGAGCAGGGGGGAGAGGGGGCAGCCCUGCCUGGUCCCAUUUCUUAUCGAAAAGGGGUCGGUGAAGGCCCCAUUUAUGCAGAUCCGUGCUGUUGGCUGCGAAUACAGUGCUCUGAUCCAGGACAUCAUGAAUGGCCCCGUCCCCAGCGUUUCAAGGACCUGGAACAUAAAGUCCCA